rnacentral:rRNA from 1 species
AUGUCGGAUCAGAUGGAUUCCGGCAUAAAGCUCUUCGGGCGGGUGAUCCCGUUGGUUCCUGACGCUGCGCCCGGGCCGCCGGAAGCGGAGGCGACGGCCGGCUCCGAACACCCACCGCCGCCGCCGCCGGCGUCGGAGGCCGAGCCAGAGGCUGAUAAUAAUAAGGAACAACACAAAGAAAUGGAAGACAAAGGUGAUAGCGAAAUGAAGGUGGAUGCGCCAGAAGAGAAAGAAGAUAGUGCAACGAAGGGUGAUGAACCAAGAGAGAGAAAAGACAACGAAAUGGAGGUUGAUGCACCACAAGCCAAAGAAAAAGCAGAAACAGCCAGUUCGUCUACCUUGGACCACAAGAAAGAUGACCAGGCCCAGAUAAGCAAUACUGAAGAGAAAGCAGCGUCAGACCCUAAGGAGGGGAAUGAGAAGAAAUCAAAUGACGAAUCAGGCCAGGAUAAGGUGCUCAAGAAGCCAGAUAAGAUUAUACCUUGCCCUCGGUGCAACAGCAUGGAUACAAAGUUCUGUUAUUACAACAACUACAAUGUUAAUCAGCCUAGGCACUUCUGUAAGAAUUGCCAAAGGUAUUGGACUGCAGGGGGGAGUAUGAGGAAUGUACCUGUUGGUGCUGGGAGGCGCAAAAGCAAGAAUUCAGCGCUGCACUACCGUCAGUUGUUGAUGGCCCCUGAUUGUCUACUGGGGUCUAGAGUAGACAUCUCUAACACAGUGAACCCAGAAGUCCUUGCAUCUCUACCUUCCAUCCCGACACAAUCAGCCAGUAGAAGUGAAACAGUUCUCAAGUUUGGGCCUGAGGUGCCACUUUGUGAAUCGAUGGUAUCGGUGCUGAACAUUGAAGAGCAGAAUGUGACCAAUGCUGGAUCUGUACCAAGAGAUGAAACCAGGGAAGAUAACUCGUGCGCAUCGUCUACCACAUCAAACAAUGGGUUACCUGCAAACGCAGUCCUGCCUGGUCAGAACGGAGCGCCUGCUUACUGUAAUGGGGUUGGUCCGGUGCCUCAGUAUUACCUUGGAGCUCCUUUCAUGUACCCAUGGAGCAUGGGGUGGAACAACCUUCCUGUAAUGGUGCCGGGUGGAAGUAUGCCAGAAUCUGCUUCUCCAUCAGAAAGCUGUAGCACAAGUUCGGCGCCAUGGAUGAACUCUCCCAUGAUGCCAGGCUCAAGACUUCCCGCACCCCCAUUUCCAUAUCCUCUUGUUCCGCCUGCCCUCUGGGGUUGCUUACCAAGCUGGCCAGCCGCGGCAUGGAACACACCAUGGGUCGGGACCAACGGGUGCAUAUCGCCGUCUGGGUCAAGCAACAGCAGCUGUUCAGGCAAUGGGUCUCCUACUCUGGGGAAGCAUUCCAGGGACCCCAAUCCACAGAAAGAUGACAAGGAAGAGAAAUCACUGUGGGUUCCCAAGACGCUCCGCAUCGAUGACCCCGACGAGGCAGCGAAGAGUUCCAUAUGGGCAACUCUUGGCAUCAAACCUGGAGACCCUGGCGUCUUCAAGCCUUUCCAGUUCAAGGGUGAGAGCAAGGGCCAGCCAGCAGAUGCACGCCCUGCCCGUGCUUUACAGGCGAACCCCGCAGCGUUUUCUCGGUUGCAGUCAUUCCAGGAGAGCUCUUAA